GAAAGGAAAAUGCACGUUCAUGGAUGAGUUGAAGAAAAAAUUCCCGUGCUUUCGCCAGGCUGCUCAAGAUGGUAUAUUUUUUUUUUUUUGUGCCAUACCUGCCCACAAUGCAAAUGUGGAGCACAUCUUUUCACUAAUGCAAGCGCAGUGGACAAAGGAGAGGAAUCGCAUGUCUGUGGAUUCACUGAAAGGGACUUUGUGCACCCAGUACAAUUUCAGGAACAUGACCUGCAAAGAUUUUCAUACCUACUUAAUGGGUAAUCGUAAACUGUUGAAAGAGAUGCAAUCUUCUGACAAAUACACCCCGCAAGAGGAGGACUGAAGAGAAGCCAAUUUUUUUCAGGAGAACUGAAGAGGAGCCUUUUUUUUUUUUUCUCAAAUGCUGCACCGAUGGCCCUACUUCUUUUUUCUUUUUUACUUAGUCUACCACUAACACUCAAAAAUGUCAGUGUACAUAUGUUUUUGUUAGUGUAUAUAUGUUGUUUUGUGUUAUUCGGGCCAAUAAAUGCAAUUGUUAUACAGA